UGCUGAUAUAAGAAUUCACCUCUGCCUCUAGGUGAAAUAGGUUCUCAUGGCAAAAAGAGCAAAGCAAAUGAAAGCAAGUGUAAAACUCCCAAGUAAAAUGGUGCACUUGUGAGUGCGGUUAUAAUUUUCAAUACUUGUAAAUGACAACACAUUUAUUUUCAUAUUAGUGUUUGACUAUUUGUAUUUGAAUAUGGUACGAUGACUCAAUGGAUAUUUUUAACUAUAUUUUUUAUGAGUUAAUGUUAAUUUCCUAUUUGAUUUAA